AUGCUGGAUUAUGUGACCAGAAGGCAGACGAGCAGGGAGACUUGGUCAUCAUGUCCGUGAUUGCUUGGAUCUUGAACUCCAUCUCCGUGCUGCCCCACCUUGUUCAAUUUACUGCUGAGGGACCGACCAACUAAAUAUCAACGGGCUUGAUCUGGGGUCACUAUCCCAGGUCCUGUGGGGAGCAGAAUGGAAGUAGAAUAUAUAUACACUGUAUUGCUUUUCUAAACCUAGAAAACAUCUGAAUUCUCAGAGAUAUUUGGCUAUGGGUUUCAGGUAAGUGACUGCCCUGUAUAAUGUGGGUGGUGUUAAAUCAUGAAUGAAAUUAAGAGGGAAAGUGAUAGGAAAGGCUUUCCUUUCUUGAAUUUUAGUCCAUUGGCUCAUUGUUGCAUUACAGCUCUCUGGUGUCUUUAAAAUACGAUUUAUUUUUGUUCUGUGUUUGUUCUGCGGGGAAACUUUGGCCCUACUGCACCUGCUGCCUCUUACCCCAAAGCAGAGUCCUGAUACAUGCGUCUUUUGAACUGCAGACGCAGAAAAGUUACAUAUCCUCAAAUCUAACCACUGGGCUCUGGCAACCAUCUCUACUUGCAUAGAUCUGUUUGUUUCAGAACCUAUACCCAGGAGGGUCUUGGCUCCUGGGACUAUUGACUUCAUCUCUCCCAUUAGCAUCUGGCAUUACCAUGUCACUCUCAUGAGGAAAGACAGGGAUGGCAGGAUGUACCUAAUUUCUUUCUGACGCCUGUGGUAUUAUUUCUGUUAGCUUCUCAGCAGGAGUCAGAUGAGUUGUGGCAGGUCUUCUGGGCAAUAUGGCUAUAGCUGUUUUCUUCUCUCUACUCAUGACUGAAUAAUGUCACGUUGCAUAUUUUUAUUUUAUCAUUUUACAUUUGUUAAGUAUUUUUCUUAAGUUUCUUCUGAAGCUGGUUUUAUUGUAAAAUUCUCUUGUACACAUUUGAGUUGAAAUAUAUGUGGAAUAUCAGCUAGUUGACCUUGAUAAUUUAAACUCCUUGAGCUUUUUAAAAAAAUCAUUUUUAAUUGAGAAUGAUUAAAUAAACUUGCCUAUCAAUAUCA